rnacentral:lncRNA from 10 species
GCCCACACUGUGACACCAGACAAAAGUCACUUCCGAUCACUAAGUGAUGCGGUACAGAGACUGCUCUCCUACCACGUGUGCCAGGGCUCCAUGCCCACUGAAGAAGACUUGAGAAAAGUGGACAAUGAAUUUGAGACAGUUGCCACUCAGCUCCUAAAAAGGACCCAAGCUAUGCUUAACAAAUACAGAUGCCUGCUCCUAGAAGAUGCCAUGGUAAAAGUCAUGCUACUGAUAUUUGUUCUUUAAAACUUUACAGGUCACAGCCACUAAAUCAGAGACAGAAAGGUCAAGGAAUUAUAGAAUAUAAUGUAAAAGUAACAGAUAUUUCACACUGUAGAAAAACUUACGCUUAGCUGCUACUACAAAAACAGCAGUGAACAUUUGCUGUACUUUACUUGGUGGGUCAGUACUAUUCUCUUGUUUAACGGAUAAGGAAACCAGGGCUUUGGUUAAGUAACUUGCUCGAGAACAGAUGGCUAAGAAGUUUGCAGAGUAAUUAGCAGAGCUCGGAUACGAGCCAGGAUCAUCUGACCCCUGGUCCACACUCUGAUGCCAUCUACCGCCUUUCACCAACCCAGAGAUGUGGGAGAAGGACUGGAGGCACAUCUGAACAGAUAAGCUGGUGACAAAUGUCAAAAUUAGUUUUGUUUUUGAGAGAUCAUUGACAUUCCAUAAAAUUUACAUUUAAAGUGUACAACUGAGGCCAGGCAUGGUGGCUUAUGCCUGUAAUCCCAGCACUUUGGGAGGCCAAGGCGGGUGGAUCACCUGAGGUCGGGAGUUCAAGACCAGCCUGACCAACAUGGAGAAACCCCUUCUCUACU